CCGUCACCCAUCUAUCCACCUGCAGCUCCUCGGUCUCCCCAUCCAGCCAGGUCUGACUAACCCCCCACAAAAUACCGGAUCAUCCAGGAAACAACCCCACGGAUCCCUCCAGUCCUACAGAAGCUUCGGCUACCUCUCCCAUUCAAAAUAAAUCAUUUAAACUUA